AACGAACGCUGGCGGCAUGCCUAACACAUGCAAGUCGAACGAAGGCUUCGGCCUUAGUGGCGCACGGGUGCGUAACGCGUGGGAACCUGCCCCUUGGUUCGGAAUAACACAGAGAAAUUUGUGCUAAUACCGGAUGAUGACUUCGGUCCAAGGAUUUAUCGCCGAGGGAUGGGCCCGCGUAGGAUUAGGUAGUUGGUGGGGUAAUGGCCUACCAAGCCGACGAUCCUUAGCUGGUCUGAGAGGAUGAUCAGCCACACUGGGACUGAGACACGGCCCAGACUCCUACGGGAGGCAGCAGUGGGGAAUAUUGGACAAUGGGGGAAACCCUGAUCCAGCAAUGCCGCGCGAGUGAUGAAGGCCUUAGGGUUGUAAAGCUCUUUUACCAGGGAUGAUAAUGACAGUACCUGGAGAAUAAGCUCCGGCUAACUCCGUGCCAGCCGCCGCUGUAAGAC
rnacentral:rRNA from 1 species